rnacentral:rRNA from 1 species
UACGUAGGGACCAAGCGUUGUUCGGAUUUACUGGGCGUAAAGGGCGCGUAGGCGGCUUAACAAGUCACUUGUGAAAUCUCCGGGCUUAACUCGGAACGGCCAAGUGAAACUGUCAAGCUAGAGUGCAGAAGGGGCAAUCGGAAUUCUUGGUGUAGCGGUGAAAUGCGUAGAUAUCAAGAGGAACACCUGAGGUGAAGACGGGUUGCUGGGCUGACACUGACGCUGAGGCGCGAAAGCCAGGGGAGUAAACGGG